AAAGAAGCUAACAUAGUAUGCAAGAUGACUUGUAGUAAUGAGUUAUUAUGUUUUGUAUUGAUUAUUCUGUCAGUGCAUACGGAAAAUCCGAUGUGGUCUAACUUACCAGAACAUCUUCGUCCAUUAUUACAAAUUCGCAAUCCUGAUUAUUCCUCAAAACCUAUAGCACAAGUUUUGGGGGAAGUGUUGCAAGCACAAUUUCAAAGAAGGGAUUUAAGAUGUAGUUCAUCUUCUCGUUAUAUACGUGCAUGUAUUUGCUCUACAUAUCAGAAACUAUAUGACAUAGAUGUGUUAUAUGUUGAGAUGGAUACCAGUAACAACAGCAUACUGAUAGAAAGUGUGUCGUCUUAUCAUUCAUACUAUCAUAUAUACACCUUUGAUAAUUAUUUAAGUAGUUUUCCGAGUAAUAUUUGUGAGUUUCCGACAAUUGUUAAAAUAGAUUUAUCAUUCAAUAAAAUUACAGAUAUUGA
rnacentral:lncRNA from 1 species